GAGGUAGAGGCGCGAUAAGUCAAGAUACAAUCGAUGAGCUAGAGAAGAGUUAUGAAACGAUUGAUGAGGGACUAUCGCCGAAGUGCAUGACGAUUUCUCAACAUCAUGUGCUGGGUCUGCAGUGAACAAUUGCAGGACUGUCUCGCUUGAGUUU
rnacentral:ncRNA from 1 species